rnacentral:lncRNA from 1 species
GGGCUUUUAUUAAUAGAACAAAAUUACAAAAAUUCUAAAAAAGGGCCAAAGCAGAUGGGCCCAAAGUAAAAAAAUCUAAAUAUUUUUAAAGUAAAAAAAUCUAGAUAUAAUCCUAAAAAAAGGCACCGAUUCCUUGCCCUGCCCUCUCUUCUUCCCAUAAUCCCGUCAUUUCAUUUUCAAUUUGACCAUUUCCUUUUUCAAAACUUUUCCUUCCGAACCGUUCCAUUUUCUUAUUGUUUUGAAGCUUUCUUCCUUCCGUUCUUCCUCUCCUGGUUCUUUCUAGUCUGGUUCACAUAGCUAAUCGUAUCUUCUUUGUUUUUCAGCGUACUCAGGCCCUCAGGGAGCUCCAUUUCCAGGCAUACCUCCUCUUUUUUGUUUUUUGUUCUUUUUCCCGUUAUCUUCUUUGUUCUUUGUUCUUUUUCAUUUUUUUGAUUGAACUGUGUUUCAGUGUUUCUGUUGAUUUUUGUUUAGAGGAGAUGAUUUUUUUUUUAAUUUGCUGUUAACGGGAAAUAACGGGAAUAGCGGCCCGUUAUUGCCGCAAUUGGCCGUUACCCGUUAAAUUGCGGCCGUGAUCCACCGCUAUCGGUGUGACUCCGCUUCUCACCGCUAUUUUCAGCAAUUGCAGUUUCGGACGACGCCGCUACCGCUAUAUAACGGCCGCUAUUUCGGUAACGGACCGUUAUUUAAAUCCCUGGA